UCGAUGAAGAACGCAGCGAAAUGCGAUAAGUAAUGUGAAUUGCAGAAUUCAGUGAAUCAUCGAAUCUUUGAACGCACAUUGCGCCCGCCAGUAUUCUGGCGGGCAUGCCUGUUCGAGCGUCAUUUCAACCCUCAAGCCCCAGCCGGCUUGGUGUUGGGGACCGGCCCCGGCCGCCCCCCAAAUGCAGUGGCGACCUCGCCGCAGCCUCCCCUGCGUAGUAGCACAACCUCGCACCGGAGCGCGGAGACGGUCACGCCGUAAAACGCCCAACUUCUCAGAGUUGACCUCGGAUCAGGUAGGAAUACCCGCUGAACUUAAGCAUAUCAAUAAGCGGAGGAAAAGAA
rnacentral:rRNA from 1 species